AAAAAAAAAUUGUCUUACAUUCAUGGUUCCAUCGAGGAAUGGCACGCGUUAUUUCGAAAAAAAAUUAAAUUUUUUAACAUCCCUUAAUCCGUAAAGAAAAGAGUAGGACAAGAAAUAAAAUUAUACCAUUAAAUAAAAUAUGCCUUGUUCAAAAAAAGAAAGCGAAUUAGGGAGAAAAAUAAGACUCAAAAUCAAAACAAAUAAAUACGAAAUAACCAUAACAUUAUUAUACACGCCAUUACCUCAUUCCACACAACAUAUUAUUAUACAUUCCCUAUAGAAUAGUGUGACGUGAGUCACUGGGACUACGAACCCAGAGUAACCGUCACUAAAACUCUACCUAAAACUAAUAGACAAUUUUCGACAAGCCUUUAUAUUGAUCAACGAAACAAUAAUUACCGAUAACGCUGACCCAUAAAAAGAUUAAACUAAAAAAUUAAAUAAAAGAUCUAAAAUAAUUAUAUAUCUCUAUCACUAGCAUAAAUAAAAAAGCCUAGUAUUUAACAAAUAUUUUUCGAUAAAAAUGAAAAUAUAGCGAAAACAAAAAAAAAAUGUAGAAAAUAUGCCUGUUUUUUACUUAACCUAAGAACUUUAUCACUAAUACCCCAAAUUAUUUCCUAGUACCUAGUAUUGAUUAAAAAAAAAAUAAAAAUAAAAAAAAAUCUACAACUAAAAGUAACAAACUAAUUAAGCAUAAAAACAAAUAAACUAACUUUUAACCAUUCAACCGCAAACCGGUGACGAUGAUACGAUCGACAAAACGUGUACGAUGCGUGGUCGUUGUCAGUUUUAUAAUCGGCCGUGGCUUCAUCCGUGGGUU